GUGGUUGUAGCUCAGUUGGUUAGAGCGUCGGAUUGUGGUUCCGAAGGUCGCGGGUUCGAGCCCCGUCUUCCACCCUA
rnacentral:tRNA from 2 species